AUCUCAGACGGUAAAGCGUCUGCCUGCAAUGCAGGAGACCCAGGUUCGAUUCCUGG
rnacentral:tRNA from 1 species